rnacentral:tRNA from 1 species
GAGAGUAUAGCUUAAACCAAAGCAAUUCGCUUACACCGAAUAGAUGCCCAUUAAAACCGGACUACCCUCA